rnacentral:rRNA from 1 species
GACGAACGCUGGCGGCGUGCUUAACACAUGCAAGUCGAGCGAUGAAGCACCUUCGGGUGUGAAUUAGCGGCGAACGGGAGAGGAACACGUGAGAAAUCUGCCUUCAACACUGGGAUAACUCCGGGAAACCGGGGCUAAUACCGGAUAUGAAACCUGCGGGCAUCCGCGGGUUUGGAAAGUUUUUCGGUUGAAGAUGAUCUCGCGGCCUAUCAGCUUGUUGGUGAGGUAAUGGCUCACCAAGGCGACGACGGGUAGCCGGCCUGAGAGGGCGACCGGCCACACUGGGACUGAGACACGGCCCAGACUCCUACGGGAGGCAGCAGUGGGGAAUAUUGGGCAAUGGAGGAAACUCUGACCCAGCGACGCCGCGUGCGGGAUGAAGGCCUUCGGGUUGUAAACCGCUUUCAGCAGGGAAGAAGCGAAAGUGACGGUACCUGCAGAAGAAGCACCGGCUAACUAUGUGCCAGCCGCCGCGGUAAAAC